AGGAUGAACGCUAGCGGCAGGCCUAAUACAUGCAAGCUGAACGGUAAAUAGUGUAGCAAUACAUUAUGAGAGUAGCGUAAGGGUGCGUAACACGUAUGCAAUCUGCCCUGUACAGGAGGAUAGCUCGGGGAAACCCGGAUUAAUACUCCGUAAUAUUAUUGGGAGGCAUCUUUCGAUAAUUAAAGUUGCAAGAUGGUACAGGAUGAGCAUGCGUCUGAUUAGCUAGUUGGUAGUGUAACGGACUACCGAAGGCGAUGAUCGAGUUAGGGGAACUGGAGAGGUUGAACUCCCCCACACUGGCAUGAGAGUACCGGGCCAGACUACCGUACGGGAGCAGGCAGUAAGGGAAUAGUUGGGCUAAAGUGGGUAGAGAGACCUAGAACC
rnacentral:rRNA from 1 species